rnacentral:tRNA from 1 species
UGCGGAGUACCUGGAGUGGCUCCAGAGCGGUCUCAUAAGCCGUACACGCGAGUUCGAUUCUCGCCUCCGCAA